rnacentral:rRNA from 1 species
AGCGGCGGACGGGUGAGUAGCGCGUAGGAACGUGUCCUGUGGUGGGGGACAACCCUGGGAAACCGGGGCUAAUACCGCAUAUGGCCCGAGGGCCAAAGCCGCGAGGCGCCAUGGGAGCGGCCUGCGUCCGAUUAGCUUGUUGGCGGGGUAACGGCCCACCAAGGCUCCGAUCGGUAGCUGGUCUGAGAGGACGAUCAGCCACACUGGGACUGAGACACGGCCCAGACUCCUACGGGAGGCAGCAGUGGGGAAUAUUGGGCAAUGGGCGCAAGCCUGACCCAGCAAUGCCGCGUGGGUGAAGAAGGUCUUCGGAUUGUAAAGCCCUUUCGGCGGGGACGAUGGUGACGGUACCCGCAGAAGAAGCCCCGGCCAACUUCGUGCCAGCAGCCGCGGUAAUACGAAGGGGGCUAGCGUUGCUCGGAAUCACUGGGCGUAAAGGGCGCGUAGGCGGCCCCGUUGGUCGGGCGUGAAAUCCCCGGGCUCAACCCGGGGGCUGCGCCCGAAACGGCGGGGCUUGAGGACGGGAGAGGCUCGCGGAAUUCCCAGUGUAGAGGUGAAAUUCGUAGAUAUUGGGAAGAACACCGGUGGCGAAGGCGGCGAGCUGGCCCGUUUCUGACGCUGAGGCGCGACAGCGUGGGGAGCAAAC